GGGGGCGACCUGGCUUCGACGGGGGUCGCGAAACCUAAGGGGCAUGCCGAGGGGCAGGGCACCUCGUUAAUCCAGCUGCAAAAAAAGUUAGUCGCCAACGAC
rnacentral:tmRNA from 1 species